rnacentral:rRNA from 1 species
CAGCCGCCGCGGUAAUACGUAGGUGGCAAGCGUUGUCCGGAAUUAUUGGGCGUAAAGGGCUCGCGGGCGGUUUGAUAAGUCUUGUGUGAAAUCUCUGGGCUCAACCCAGAGUCUGCACAGGAAACUGUCGGGCUUGAGAGUGGGAGAGGUGAGUGGAAUUUCCGGUGUAGCGGUGAAAUGCGUAGAUAUCGGAAGGAACACCUGUGGCGAAAGCGGCUCACUGGACCAUUUCUGACGCUGAUGCACGAAAGCUAGGGGAGCAAACAGGAUUAGAUACCCCUGUAGUCCCUGUCUCUUAUAC